rnacentral:rRNA from 1 species
AGAGUUUGAUCCUGGCUCAGGAUGAACGCUAGCGGCAGGCUUAACACAUGCAAGUCGAGGGGCAGCGGGGAGGAAGCUUGCUUUCUCCGCCGGCGACCGGCGCACGGGUGAGUAACACGUAUGCAACCUGCCCCUGUCAGGGGGACAACCCGCCGAAAGGCGGGCUAAACCCGCGUACAUGCCACCGGGGCAUCCCGGAGGCAGGAAAGGCUUCGGCCGGACAGGGAUGGGCAUGCGGCGCAUUAGGCAGUAGGCGGGGUAACGGCCCACCUAACCGACGAUGCGUAGGGGUUCUGAGAGGAAGGUCCCCCACACUGGUACUGAGACACGGACCAGACUCCUACGGGAGGCAGCAGUGAGGAAUAUUGGUCAAUGGUCGGGAGACUGAACCAGCCAAGCCGCGUGAGGGAGGAAGGUACAGAGCAUCGUAAACCUCUUUUGUCAGGGAACAAAGGCGGGGACGUGUCCCCGGAUGAGUGUACCUGAAGAAAAAGCAUCGGCUAACUCCGUGCCAGCAGCCGCGGUAAUACGGAGGAUGCGAGCGUUAUCCGGAUUUAUUGGGUUUAAAGGGUGCGCAGGCGGUCUGUUAAGUCAGCGGUCAAAGCCCGGGGCUCAACCCCGGCCCGCCGUUGAAACUGGCAGUCUCGAGUUGGAGAGAAGUAUGCGGAAUGCGCGGUGUAGCGGUGAAAUGCAUAGAUAUCGCGCAGAACUCCGAUUGCGAAGGCAGCAUGCCGGCUCCACACUGACGCUGAGGCACGAAAGCGUGGGUAUCGAACAGGAUUAGAUACCCUGGUAGUCCACGCAGUAAACGAUGAAUGCUGGCUGUCCGGGGGGAACUGACCCCUGGGUGGGGAAGCGGAAAGCGAUAAGCAUUCCACCUGGGGAGUACGCCGGCAACGGUGAAACUCAAAGGAAUGAACGGGGGCCCGCACAAGCGGAGGAACAUGUGGUUUAAUUCGAUGAUACGCGAGGAACCUUACCCGGGCUCAAACGGGGAGUGGCGCAGGCAGAGACGCCUGUUUCCCACGGGACACUCCCCGAGGUGCUGCAUGGUUGUCGUCAGCUCGUGCCGUGAGGUGUCGGCUUAAGUGCCAUAACGAGCGCAACCCCCGCGUGCAGUUGCUAACAGUCAACGCUGAGGACUCUGCACGGACUGCCGGCGCAAGCCGCGAGGAAGGCGGGGAUGACGUCAAAUCAGCACGGCCCUUACGUCCGGGGCGACACACGUGUUACAAUGGGUGGUACAGCGGGAAGCCAGGCGGCGACGCCGAGCGGAACCCGAAAUCCACUCUCAGUUCGGAUCGGAGUCUGCAACCCGACUCCGUGAAGCUGGAUUCGCUAGUAAUCGCGCAUCAGCCAUGGCGCGGUGAAUACGUUCCCGGGCCUUGCACACACCGCCCGUCAAG